rnacentral:sRNA from 1 species
UCCAUACAUAAAUGGUCCCAAGACUGUG